rnacentral:rRNA from 1 species
AUGCACGCUGGCGGCGUGCCUCAUCCAUGCAAGUCGAGCGCACAGACGAGGAGCUUGCUCCUCUGACGUUAGCGGCGGACGGGUGAGUAACACGUGGAUAACCUACCUAUAAGACUGGGAUAACUUCGGGAAACCGGAGCUAAUACCGGAUAAUAUAUUGAACCGCAUGGUUCAAUAGUGAAAGACGGUUUUGCUGUCACUUAUAGAUGGAUCCGCGCCGCAUUAGCUAGUUGGUAAGGUAACGGCUUACCAAGGCAACGAUGCGUAGCCGACCUGAGAGGGUGAUCGGCCACACUGGAACUGAGACACGGUCCAGACUCCUACGGGAGGCAGCAGUAGGGAAUCUUCCGCAAUGGGCGAAAGCUUGACGGAGCAACGCCGCGUGAGUGAUGAAGGUCUUCGGAUCGUAAAACUCUGUUAUUAGGGAAGAACAAAUGUGUAAGUAACUAUGCACGUCUUGACGGUACCUAAUCAGAAAGCCACGGCUAACUACGUG